GCGCCCGUAGCUCAGCUGGAUAGAGCGCUGCCCUCCGGAGGCAGAGGUCUCAGGUUCGAAUCCUGUCGGGUGCGCCA
rnacentral:tRNA from 10 species